rnacentral:rRNA from 1 species
UACAGAGGUGGCAAGCGUUGCUCGGUAUCACUGGGCUUAAAGGGCGCGUAGGCGGUGCGGUGCGGUUUCGGUGAAAUCCCUCGGCCCAACCGAGGAACAGCCGGGGCUACGGCCGCGCUAGACGGCAUCAGGGGACAGUGGAACUCCCGGUGGAGCGGUGAAAUGCGUAGAUAUCGGGAGGAACGCCGGUGGCGAAAGCGACUGUCUGGGGUGCCUGGUGACGCUGAGGCGCGAAAGCCAG